rnacentral:rRNA from 1 species
UACGGGGGGGGCAAGCGUUGUUCGGAAUUACUGGGCGUAAAGGGCGUGUAGGCGGCCAACUAAGUCCGACGUGAAAUCCCCAGGCUCAACUUGGGAACUGCAUCCGAUACUGGAUGGCUUGAAGUUCGGGAGAGGGAUGCAGAAUUCCAGGUGUAGCGGUGAAAUGCGUAGAUAUCAAUGAGGAAGACCAGUGGCGAAGGCGGGUCUCUGGACAGUUCCUGACACUGGAGGCAACGGAAGGCCAGGGGAGCAAACGGG